rnacentral:hammerhead_ribozyme from 1 species
AUCAAGUUGACAAGUCCCAAACAGGACGAAAUGCUCAUCCCGGAU